UGAAAAUGGUAAACAAACUUGUUUUGAAGCUGGAAAAUCAUCUGUACCUGUGUAUUAUAUGCACCAACCAUUCGAGGUUGGUCCCAAACAAGGGAGUGGAGGACAUAAUGUGGUAUGCUGUAAAGAUUAAGUUAAGAAGGUAAACAAAACGCUACUGAGGAUUGUCACUGAAUACAAGAACAGGACAGCAAUGGACUUCCUCUGUGGGAUAGCAUAUAACAUUAGAUACUAGUAAACUCUAUGAACAUUUAGUGUAGAGUGACGGGACCGGACUCUGAUUCAGCAUAUAAAUUUUUAUCAUAUAAAUCAAUUUCAACUGAAUAAAUAAAGUCGUGUACAGGUUUAGUUUUUUGCUGUUUUAAUAAUUUUCGACCAAUUUUUGACUAGUUUUUGACCAUUGGUCGAAAAAUACAGUAGACUAACUGUCGUAUUCGGCAAAAUAUCAAGAUAUUUGGCAAACUGUCACAUCGGCGAAGUGUCUUUAGACGAAUUGUCGUGGAAGCGUAUUUUCAACAUAAUUCAACUAGAAACACCUCAGCAGGAACAUGGUUGUAACGUAAAAAAAAAGGAAACAUGCGAUAUCAAAAAGAAUAUUACUGGCUGGAGACAUUAUUUACCACAGUUAGUUUUAAAAUGUACAGAAUGAGAUGCUUUACAUUCACCCAUCAUAGAACUCAUAACUCGAAACAACCAAUUCAAAAAUGUGAAACAUUGGAAGGACAAAAAUCUGUCAAGGCAAACGAAAAUGACUUUAAAGGACUUAUGCUUGACUCAAAACAAGCUACAAUAUCUGCUGAAGUUUCUGCUUUAGGUAUGACCCAAACUGGAUGGGAGUUACAAUUUCUGUUAUUCUUCUGAAUGUUACAAAAGUAUCAAACAGGACAUUUUCCAUUAUCAUCAGAUUCUAGUGCAAUUUGCACUCACAGAAAACUGAGAUCAGGCUAUUAAAUUAUUCAUCACAAUUUG
rnacentral:lncRNA from 1 species